AACGAACGCUGGCGGCGUGGAUAAGACAUGCAAGUCGAACGGGACAGGUAGCAAUAUUUGUCUAGUGGCGAACGGGUGCGUAACACGUGGGCAACAUGCCUGGAAGAGCGGGAUAGCCCGGGGAAACUCGGAUUAAUACCGCAUGUGACAACGGGGCGGCUUCGCCCUGUUUUCAAAGGUGGGGACCGCAAGGCCUGCCGCUUCCAGAUUGGCCCGCGGCCUAUCAGCUAGUUGGCGAGGUAAAAGCUCACCAAGGCGACGACGGGUAGCUGGUCUGAGAGGACGACCAGCCACACUGGAACUGAGACACGGUCCAGACACCUACGGGUGGCAGCAGUCGAGAAUCUUUCACAAUGGGGGAAACCCUGAUGGAGCGACGCCGCGUGGAGGAUGAAGGUCUUCGGAUUGUAAACUCCUGUCAUGAAAGAACAAGCGAUGCGGGUCAACAGCCCGCAAAGUUGAUAGUAUUUCAAGAGGAAGGGACGGCUAACUUCGUGCCAGCCGCCGCCGUAAUAC
rnacentral:rRNA from 1 species